CCUACGGGAGGCAGCAGUGGGGAAUAUUGCACAAUGGGCGCAAGCCUGAUGCAGCCAUGCCGCGUGUGUGAAGAAGGCCUUCGGGUUGUAACGCACUUUCAGCGGGGAGGAAGGCGGUGAGGUUAAUAACCUCAUCGAUUGACGUUACCCGCAGAAGAAGCACCGGCUAACUCCGUGCCAGCAGCCGCGGUAAUACGGAGGGUGCAAGCGUUAAUCGGAAUUACUGGGCGUAAAGCGCACGCAGGCGGUCUGUCAAGUCGGAUGUGAAAUCCCCGGGCUCAACCUGGGAACUGCAUUCGAAACUGGCAGGCUAGAGUCUUGUAGAGGGGGGUAGAAUUCCAGGUGUAGCGGUGAAAUGCGUAGAGAUCUGGAGGAAUACCGGUGGCGAAGGCGGCCCCCUGGACAAAGACUGACGCUCAGGUGCGAAAGCGUGGGGAGCAAACAGGAUUAGAUACCCUUGUAGUC
rnacentral:rRNA from 1 species